rnacentral:rRNA from 1 species
UACGUAGGGGGCAAGCGUUGUCCGGAUUUAUUGGGCGUAAAGAGCGUGUAGGCGGCUUUGCAGGUCCGCUGUGAAAACUCGAGGCUCAACCUCGAGCUGUCGGUGGAAACCGUAAAGCUAGAGUCCGGAAGAGGAGAGUGGAAUUCCUGGUGUAGCGGUGAAAUGCGCAGAUAUCAGGAAGAACACCCGUGGCGAAGGCGGCUCUCUGGGACGGUACUGACGCUGAGACGCGAAAGCGUGGGGAGCGAACAGG